GACGAACGCUGGCGGCGUGCUUAACACAUGCAAGUCGAACGAAGUGGCGAACGGGUGUGUAAUACGAUAGUAACCUGCCCUCCUUUCUGGGAUAAGCCUUGGAAACGGGGUCUAAUACCGAGUCAAGGGGGAUGGGCUCGCGGACUUUCAGACUGUUGGGGGGGGGAUGGCCUACCAAGGCGGUGACGGGUAGCCGGCCUAAGAGGGUGACCGUGGACGUUGGGGCUGAUUGACGGGCAAGACUCCUACGAGGGGGAGCCGUGGGAGAUCUUAUGCAAUGGGCGAAGGCGUAAUGCAGCGAAUACGCGUCGGGGAUGAAGGCUUUCGGGUUGGAAACCUCUUCGUUAACAAAUCGGGUAGGUGGAGAAGAAGAGCCGGCUAACUACGUGCCAGCAGUCGAGGUAAUUC
rnacentral:rRNA from 1 species